CCCCUCCCUCACAGCUCCGGGCGUUGGCUUGAAACCGCGUAACGCAGCUCAAAGAAAUGGUGCGUCCCGCCAAACCUGGGAGUGUUGAAGGCGUCGCCGCCAAAGGGAUUUGUUCCCUGCAAGGUGCUGUCUAAACGGAAGAACAUCACAGGAAGGGGCUGUCAUUGUCUUACUGAGGUUCAACCACAAGAACUACAAUGGAUGAUUCUGGUAGAUACCACAACAUUUCUGGCAAACAGAAUAGAAAAAACAAAAUCAGAACUGAUGCUGUGUUGACAUUCUCUAGAUGAACAGUUCAGAAAACUACAGCAAGACACACAAGAUGUGGAAGACCCGCAGCACAGCCACACGUGAUUUGGUAUAACAAGCUAAACAAUGUAAAAGGAAUGCCAUUGUCCCCAUAUUCACAGGAUACAGAAUCCACAUUGACUGAAAUCAUAUCAUUUGCACUCAGCUCAAAAUACUGAAAAUGUCUAACUUACACUGUAGAUAUUUAGAACCUGAAACCUAUCCAAUUAUAUAUUGGUUUAGAUACAGGGUUGUGUUCACUGUAAGAGUACCAACUUAAAUAAAUCUCUUCUAGCCUGUGAAUUUAAAACUCUUCUGCCCCUUUCUCAUUAACCUAGUGGAUGUAUUUUCCUGUGGUUAUGGAAGUUCAUCAGAGCUCAUAGUAGCUUACAUUUAAAAGAAGAAAAAUAUUCCAGGGUUCCAAAGGCCACUAUGAAAAAGGCAUUGCCAGUAAUCACACUUUUGAUGCAAGGAAUCCAGUUCAAGGCCCCUGUUGACUAUAGGCAUCACAUUAUGAGAGAGAAAAGGGUUUAUCUCAAAUUAUCAAGACUGAAGUCAGUCAGUGCCAUUUAACAAGCUGUUAAACAUAUCUGGAGUACAGGUACUAUAUGGUUUAGGAAGGUUUCUCUCUCGUUCUUCACCACCUUCAGUCUCUCUGGCUUUAAAUUAUAGCACCACCCUGACACACAUCAUCAUAAGUUAACUGGGACAUUAUAUAUAUCUGUAAAAAUAAAGAACACUCAAAAAAAACAACCCCCAAAGCAACCUAUAGCUAAAAUAAAUGGUCAUCUUUCAAGUUAGGUGCUGAUGGUAAAAACUGGCAUUACUGCUGUAUGUGCUCACACAGCAACAAGGCAGCUGGAAUCACAAUUAAUGAGGAUCCCUUUGACACUGGACACUGUCCAUAAUGAAGAGUGAGUUCCCCAACUCGACUGGUGUGCUGGCCCAGCCCUUGAGCACCCCUCUCAGCUUGGUUCAGAAAGGAUCUUGUUGGGUCAGCUGGGAAAGACAGAGACAUCAAUAUACUGGGGACACAGAGAAGUAGUGCUACACCCCAUGUUGUCUCAUUGGUCUUCCACAGACGUGUUACACCCACAGCACUGCAUUCUUGAAAAACCUUUUGUUGUUUUUGUGCAGUUUAAACCCAAGACAACAAAGAAUGCAGCCAGUGACGACUCCUUUACUGAUCUCUUGGUCUCUAGGUAGGCUGUUCAAGUGCUGUUGUGACAUCUCUUAUAAGCUGGUGUACUCUUGUUCUUACCACCAGCGAAGGUACAAAGAAAAAUGAGGUUCUCCCUGCAACAUUGCCCCAGGAUUGUACCUGCCUCUGUAACAGGCAAAGGGUAUUUAAUGUACAGUCAAAACAAGGCCCAUGUGACUCGUGAAUAGCUGUCACUCUUCAUGAGGAAAGGCAUAUAUAAUAAAAAGAUACCACAUAGAUACUACUAAAGGAGGAACAACCUUUUAGAAUAGACAAUGUCUGUAUAGAAAAUCUCCAGGUGGACUUAACAGCUAUGGGGUGAAGCUUUUGUGUAGACAGGUCCAUUACAGAAUUAGAACUGUAGUAUUUUUUGCCAUGAUUAAAAAAAAAAAAAAAAAAAAAAUUGAAGAACCACCUGCACUGACAUAGUGAGUUUUUGAGGUCUGUUGUGCAUGUGUGGUUGUGGUUUGUGCCUUUUAUUUAAUGAAGCCAAAAGUGCUAUUUCAGCAAUGGAAGAGUUAAUUGAUUGCCAAGUAAGCUAGCUAUUAGCAGUGCUGAUCAGAUUCCGGGACCCAGACAAGGCACUUGCUACAAUAAUGAUCAGCAGUAGAAGGUGGGAAGAAUAUAAUAGGUCAAUACUGAUCGUGUGUGCUUUUUUCCUGGAAAUGUGAGGUCAGCCUUGAAAGGUGCAUUACAUACAGGGAGUGGGAAUGAGGGUGAAGGAGAAAUAGAAAAAAACACAACAGAAAUUACUUACAGCAGGUGAUGCAUAUCAACAUGACUCAAGAGAAAUAUGGUAAAGGUUUCAGAAGGAUUAUUGCAAUAUGUGAUGCCUCAUGAUGCUAUUUUCCACGAAACUGGCAUUUUGGCAAGGUAUAUACUGUUCCUCUCCCAAAGAGAAAUGUAGUAGUCAAACGUGACAGGUGUUCAUGAUUUUUUUCACAGCAAUUGGAGACCUUUUCUUCUACAGUGUCCUAGAUUGUGAAAUAUAGACCACCAAACUGAGGAGAGUAAUGUCUAGGAACUGGCUGGUAAAAAUAAAAAAGGGAAAGGCUAAGCCCUUGCACAAUGGCUGUGGGGUAUGACAUUUUCCUGGGGACCUGAUGGGGUAGGAGUUAGGCAGCUUUACAGUCCUUUGAACAGACAUAGAUGGUCUCUAACUACUCUUUCCUCUUGCUUUCAUAAUUUUUUCCUCCACAACUCUCUUUGACACAGCACCUUUGUUUCGGGAAGUAUCCACACAGAAUUUGUUUCUGUAGUUACAGUUUCUGAUUGCUUUCUCCUGCAUGAAUCCUGCCAUGCCGCUCAUGUCCAGAGAAAGAUAAGUCAGUGUUAGUGUGUAAAGCAAGAGACUCACCAUCAUGGGUUGCUGUGUGAGUUGCUGUCUCCUGCACUGGUGUACAGUGGAAAGAGCAAGAGUAUGUGGGAUUAGGUCUUGUUCAGUAAACAAGCAUGCAUGCUUGAACUUUGCUCUAAGAAAACCCUGUUGAAGGGAACAGGUUACUGUCAUGCCUGUUGUUAAGUUGCACAUACCAUGAUUUUAAAAUAAAGUGCACAGCAAAGGCGUUGAUACAGACAUCCAUUUUAAAGCAAAUUAUUUUACCAUUAUCAUUGCAGCAUUCUUAGCAACAUUAAGUUGCCUUGCAACAGCACACAGCCGCUCAGAUACAGAAUAGUCAUUAAAAGAAUUCAUGCCGUGUUUUUUUUUUAAUCUUGGCACUCAGCCCACUGCACAUUUUCACGCCAAGAUAAGAUUCCUUAGUCAUUUGUUCUUUAUGUGUCUUAAUGGCUUUAAGAAAAACCACAGUUCUAAAGAACCUCAAGGGAAGAUGCUUUAUGAAGCCUUUUUACUCAUUAUAGCCAAACAGAUUUCCAGCACUUCUUGGGCACUCUCUUAGGCUGGGUUUGUUAGGAAGGAGUCAGGCAUCUCUAUGCUAUCAACUAAAAAAUUUGUUCUGUGGCUAUUCCUGUCUUCCUGAUACCUUGGCAACUGUCCUAGAAGGCAAAUGGAAAACAGAGGAAGUUUUAGGGACUGGAAAGAAUGAAAAAGGAGAAGGUCGCAUUUAGUCAGCACUUUGGGUACCAAACUGAAGUAGGUCUGUUAAUUUUUAGGGAGCAUCUGUAGCAGGAUUUGACCCUAUUUUGAGAAAUACCCAUUUCAAAUUCCUUUUUCACUUAAUGUCCCCCAAAUCAGGGUAUAUUUAUUCUUGCAGAUCAUAAGCCUUAUCACAAAUAGGUUUUUACCUCUUUCUUUUCAAAGGAUUUAAAAGGCCAACCCAUCAUUUCUGAGAUCUCUGGAAUUUCCUCAGGACAUUCAAAUACAACCAUCACUUUGGGAGCCCAUCAGAAAUAUCACAAGGCCACAGCCAGCCAGAUAUUCUGGCUGCCAUAAAUCUGAGUUAAAUUGUUGUCAUGUCCAGGUGUUCAUUAAUCUGAAACCUUUCAGAGAAACAGCAAAAAUCCCAGUCAUGUGGACAGUUUAACAAGCAAAACUGCAGGAGCAAUAACCAAGAGGGGGACAGGGAGAAGCAGAGAGCUGUCCCCAGUUACGUGGCUCCUUGCUUCUGUCAAACCAGUUCGUUUUACUGUGCCCUCAGUGUGAACUCUAAUGUUCUCAGGGAACUGUUGCUUGCUUUGGUUUUAUCUGUGAGAAGGUGUAUUGAUGCUCUUGUGAUUACAGCAUUAACUUGAAAGACCUUGGACAUGGUGUCCUCGAUUACGAUAGGAACAAUUCCUACCUACCAUGUAGAUGCAGUUAGAGACUGUCAUUACAUGUUUUUUAAAAAAAUUAAUUUUGAGAGCAGAGGGCAACAUCAGUAGAAUGGAAUUCACCAGUAUUUAAACUGUUCUGAUGAUAACAAAUGUGGUAGUUUAUUGUAUUUGGGAGUUGGAAAAGAAAGAGUUGAGCAAGAAUUUGCAAAAUGCAGCUAUCAGUUUGGGGUACUGAGAUACUGGUAAGUCCAGGAAUUUAAACUUGCCAUGGCAUGUAAAAUCAGAUCUCUGUGUAGUGGCUAGUAUAACUCCAGAAUGGCACUCAUAUAGCAGAUGGUCUGGGAAGAAAUGAAUGUAAAAGAAUGCUAAAUAUUACAUCCUUGACAAUAUGAACUUCCAGGUUUCACAUUAGACCCUAGAAUAGUUAUCUGUUUAGCUCAAUUUCCUAAGGUAAAAAUGGGAAGUCUGGUGUCACAAUUCAUCUGAGUAAGAGUAAGACAGUGUCCUUCGAGAAUAACUGAUGCCUUGCUAAACCUGCAAUUAGAGCUGGAAUAUGUAAAAAUGGAGACUGCCAUUUCCUUUUAAGUGAGAGGCAAUGAUCCCAGGGUAGUUUUCCACUAAUGCUGUCGAUGACAACUUCUACAGGUCACACAACACACUGGCAACUACUGCAUAUCCCCCUCAGUGCUUAUGGCUGGGAUCUUAGAGCAGCCAAGCUUUGAAAAUUGCAUCUGCACAAACAACAUCACACCUUUAAAGAGCAAGCAACCAUUGCAAGGAUCAGGGGCUGCUGCUGUGUAGCAGAACAGUCUCUUCUUUGAAGGUACACAGGAGAGACCAGAAAAGCCUAUACUGGACUGUGACACCUAGAAUUUUAUUGCAGUGGCAUUUUUGUAGGUUCCUACAUGCCAUUUUUAUGGCAGUGUUAGGGGGCAAACAAAGCAAAAUUAUAACUACAGCUGUGGUCAGGGCUGUCUUUUUUUUGUCCAGAUAGUGCAAUAGUAUCCUGGUCCAGUAGAGGGGCCCCUACACACCUAAAUAAUGAAGGAUAAAAAACAAUAUGACAAAUGAAAGUUUGCCUGCUUUUUCCAAUAUUACUUUAAAACCACCAUAGCGGAGGUAAUAAAAUAGUUAUGCAUUUGCAUGUAGUGUAUGUUUUAAAUUGUAUACCUUCAUACAUAUUUAUUAUUUCAAACUGCAGGUUUGGUAACUGCAUGUUUAGAUUCUACCUCCCAUAACGAGGUAGCUAGGGCAGGCAAAGCACACUUCCUAAAAGAUGAUUAAGUGAUGUUUUUUGCCCUUUUUUUCUGUCUUACAAUAGUCUGGGGCUGCUUGGGGGCAGAACAGGACUUCUGCAACAGCUUCAGGUUUCCUUCUCACUCUGGCAUAUAUUGCUUAAAGUAAGUUUUAUGAAAGGAGGCAACAUGCAGCUUCUGCCUGCAUCUUUGCACUGUGCACCUGGCACCUCUAUGGCCCUUCUAUAGAAAGUGAGUAAUACACAGGAUCCAGAAUGGAAAAAGUAAUGUUCUUCAAAUAUUUAAAUGUAUGUAGACUCCAGACUCACACCAUUUGUAUCACAGCAACCAGAGUGGAGAAUUGUCCCUGUCGAGCAAACAUCUACUUGAAACUACUGGUAUGAAUCAGUGUGGCCAAUGGGGUGGAGUGACUAACCAUUCAAGAGCAUUCUGUUGCUUUUUGCUUGUUUUAGUUCAGUUUAUUUUGACAUGAGAACUUGAAGGAAAUUGAUUUGUUAUUUUCAGAGCCAGGGACAGAAUAUAGAGAGCACAGGCACAAAGACUUAUUUUAAGUGCCUCUGAUAAUGUUUCAUGUAUAUCUUACACAGACAGAAUUAAAAAGAAGCCAGGAGGCAAUGUUUUACUGAUGACCCAAAAAUAUCCAAGGGGGUUAUUAAACUGUUAACAAGACCACUGUUAGGUGAGGAGAUUAGUUGGACAACUUACUGAGAAGUGCUAAUUCAGGAACUCCCACGUGCCACUGGGAAUCCUUGUAUUUGUGUCAGUCUGAAGUGAUCAUGGAGCUCCUGAUUUUUCUUUUGAUUCUUCACCUGUAGGUUGGAUAAGAAUGAUAAAGAUUGGUGCUUAAGCACUACUCCUAGCAGGUCACUGAUGCAAGUGCUCUCUCACUGAAAUGCUGUGGCUUUAAACAAUAGGUUGCCUCCCUCCCAGAAGCACUCAUUUAUCAGGGGACAGAUCACCUAGCAACGGAGUCCCCCUGGAAAAGGGUACAAGUCUAGUGUAUUUCAGAAAAAAAACAGCCCUUAUGAAAAUGCAGUUAGGACAAGUAUCUUGUUCUUUAUACCUAGGAUUUUUAUGAAUAACUUCUAAUGAGCUAAAGAUUUUCCAGUGGGGCGAGAACUGAUUUUUAUAACACCAUUUCCAGUUAGUAAUUAGCAAACACUAAGAAAAUAAAUAUUCUGUUAAGAAACGGCUUGGUAACAUGUGACAUUUUUCACAGUAAAAAAGUGUCAUUGGUACAUAUGUGUCAACCUACAUAAGAAAAGCAAGAUUAUGUGUUUCAUUUCAAAACAGACAUAGAAAUACAAAAUUGAGAGUGUGUUUGAUUCUGUCAUAUCUGAUUCACUUUGAAGACAAAAAAAUCCUCCCAGGUACGCUCAGUAUGUUGUCUUUCUUGUAUCAUUCAUUUAGAGGCAGCAGUGACAGCAGAUGUGAUUAGAUUCACAAAGAUGGUGUCAAUUGGUUUAAUAUUUAUAUGAAGAUACAGUCAAAUUAGAUGAGGUCCUCAAGCUCCUGGAAAGCUAUCUAUGUUAUUUCCAUCGCAGCAUCUGGACUCACCUGAAAAGAUAAUACAGAACAGCUCACAGUGCUGCAGCCACAGUUGUGAUAACUUUUUAACGAAGCACUAAGCUGUGACAAAUGAACCCCUGCUGUAUUUCAUUAGGGAGUAAAGAUUACCCAUUUCUUCAGUCUGUUAUGGCAGACUUCACUUUGCUUCACACCGUAUCACACCCUCUGGCACCAUUUCUUCAUUUAUGUCUGUCAAAUCCUGCUGGCUGAUACUUUGAGGGUUUAUAGCUUUACCUAAUAGCAGAUCUUGAAAUUCAAGCCUGUUUUUUGAGCAAGAACUGUAUCUUUGAAAGAGGGUCCCACAUGCAAGAUAAUCGUAGUGCACUAAAACUCCUGAAUAUUAUUUCUGAGUAUUCCCACUGGAAGAUCUGAAACAGCCAACUGGACAGGACUGUAACUGCUGUUGGAUGUUAGUGUUUUCCUUUCUGCAGAGCUCCCAAUGCUGUGUCAACAGCUGCCCAGGCAGAGCUCAGGCUGGACAUGCCCAGCAGGUUCAGCAGCUGAGUGAGUGUUUGCUAAUGGGGUAGUUGGAGAAUAUUCAUAUCAGUGGGAACAGUUACUCCUCUUACCAGAACUGAGACCAAUAAUUUGUUACUGAUCUGAGUUCAGACUGGUUCCCUAUGUUUUCACAGAUUCUGAAAUGAGCUGCUGAAGCAUGGGCCUUCAGCAAAAGUGGGAGAGUGGGAAACUGAUGUGGUGAAGUCGUAAACUGGGACCAGAGGGUAAUGCUCAGUUCCCAGCUUUCCUAUAGACUCCCCUGAGAUCUCAGACAAGUCUCAGCUCCUGACUAUGACUCCUCCAUUUCUCCCCAAGAAAAAUACUGUUUUCAACCCUCUGUUGCAUUGCUGUUGUGUUUUCCAGAGAACUCCAUGCUCUGAAAAGCACAUCACAGAGAUGGAGAACAUGUUGAAGCAGCAUAAGCUUGCUGGUCUCAGAAUAUAAUUCUACUUAGCUUUGAGAUUCCCUUAAAUGAUCUAUUUUAUAUAUGCCCCCCCUUCCUUCUGCCUUUGCAAAAGGAGAGAUAGACUCCAGCCUUUCUCCUUCAACCGAAGGAAGACUAACCAAAAUUAUGUGAUACACUUACCCAAAGUUCUAAUCUUUGGGAUAGCUCUCCUUUAAAGCUGAAUUCAACCUUCAUGUUUUCCUAAGCUGGUAUUUUUUUGGCUCACUAGAUGAUGAAGUACAUCAGAUAAUGCCACUUCUGACUGUUGCUUUGUGGAUUUACUGACUAGGAACUGGGUUUGAGUCAUUUGGUCCAAUUGCAGAAGCCAUACGAUAAGCCCUGAGGUGACAGCAGUUGGGGUUUUCCUGGUGACUUGGAUUAGCUCUGAAUUGUUUGCUAGAGCUGGAAGAGUUUCCCUUAUGCCAUGGCUCUCGCAAAGGCUGAUUUCUGCCCAGGCGUCUGCGUGCUGCUGGACUGCAUACGAGAGAGGAGGAAGGUGCUGUAACUGUUGAGCAAUUUCUAUUAAACUGAAAAGGGAAGCGUUGCUCGCAUCAUUGGCCAUGAGAUUAUCAGCUUUUAUGGUCACAAGUAAUUGACUGUCCAACCCAGGAUGCUGGGGGCACAUUGCUACAAUAUACAGUUUAUUGAGCAAACCAAAAGCAAGCAAGCAAGCAGAAUAUAGCAGUAACUUGACUUAAGUGCCUAAUCAUUUAACUCCUUUUUUCCACUGCAAUGAUGCUAACUCAGAUCAUAUCAGCUUGGUUGUUCAAUAGGAAAUAAUAUCACUCCUGCCUCCCAGCCCGAGGAAUUGGGUGUUUGGAAAUAGAGAACAGUAUUAAGCAAAUUAUAAACUGUGUUAUCUCAGAAAUGAAUCUUUCAGUUAAACCAGCCAAAGUCAGAGCAAAGAUGAGGUUAGAUAAUGCGCGAUACACAGUACUGCACUGCAGCCAGGACAAGGGAAACAAGCAAAAAGGCAGCCUCUGCAGGCUGCUUAACAUGCACCCCUGCACUGACAUCAUUGGAAAAGUGCAAGUGAAACUCAGCUCAGCUUUUAGUUGUAGCUGUACCAGAGAACUGGAAGAAAUCUGCUUCAGAGCCAGAGUCAUGUCUUCCCCUCUUCUGGCAACCAUGCCAUAGCAUCUCCUUUGGAAACACUCAAGUUUUAUCCUAAAUGCUAUUUACAGUUCUUGUCAUCACUGAUGUUACUGCUUCAGAAUCUUAGUCAGAUGAGGGUUUGAAGUUUUUACUAAUAUCUGGACUAACAGACAAUUUCUACCUAAUUACUGUUCAGCCAGCAUCACCCUUUCACUUAGUUUUCCCCCUAUGCUUUGUCUUAUAACUUCAUUUCACAUUUACAAGCAGGUCAGCUUCCAUAAGAUUUUCAUUUUCAUGAAAUCACGUCUGUACUAGAUUAAGUGCAUUAUAUAUAUAUAUAUAUAUAUAUAUAUAUUUAUAAAUUAACAAAAUCCAGUUAUAUCUCUAUAGUAAAAAUAUAUUGUACAAAACAUCCUAGGAUUAUAUUUUUUCACAGCCACAUCUUAGUCUUAGCUACUGUUUAUGCUGUGUUCAACUAAAACAACUAUCCUCCUUUUACACUUUCAACAGAUGAGCUCUUAGAGUGCCUUCUUAUAAAUUCAGAACUGUAUGAUCUUGCAUAUCAUACAAUUAAAUUUAUCCCCCCCCUUUUUUUUUACUCCAGGCCUUAACUCCAAGGCAUUCUUGCAUAAUCUUCUGACACUCCUAUUGCUUCUGUAAGUUUAUUACAUGCCUAAUUCUUGUGCUGCCAUCCCUACUGCAAAUAUAAACAAGAUGUGUGUACAGACCUCCACUGUGAAGAAUUCGCUUAGAGAGCUUCUUCCAGUCUGACAGCUUUUCUUCAUUUUCCUUCUCCCAGUUUGAGUUUUUCUUCCCAUAUUGUAUAAAUGCUGAUUUACAGGUAGGCCAGUUUAGAUCUGCCGCAUUUCUUCUGGCUAUGAAAUCACUUAUCAAAAAAUAUAUGUCUCUAAGAAAUAAAUUCACAUUAUAUUUGAUCUAGUUUGCUGAAUAAGUUUUCUAUUAUGGAAAUAACACAUAGAACACGUGUGUGGGAAGUCUCAAGUAAGUAAUUUUAGAAAAGCACACUAGCUUCCUGCUAACUCUAAGGAGUCUGGGCUUCAGGUGAUCAGUUUGACAAUCACCACUGUUCAAAAGGCAAAAUAGGAAACACAAGUGAAAGAUACAAAUGUGCUAAACUUCCUGGAAAAGCCAAAUACAGGAAAAGGCUUAAAGCUGUUUUUAUUCUGUUUCUUAAAGGAGAAGACUCACAUAUGAAAGUAUCAAAGCCCCAGAAAACCUGAGCUUGCUGAAGAUAAGCUCAGAAGAAAGCCAGGAGGCACAUACAUAAUUUAGAUUCCUUUUUCUGACACUCUGCAUCCAGCACAAGUUAAUGCUCCUGCAGAGCUUGGUUCCCACUUUGCACUUACCACAAACAAGUAGGAAGCCUUGCUGAGGAACAGAAAUGGCUUUUCUGAGACCAAGCAGGAACAUGCUUUAGCAUGUUAAGAAUCCAAAAGUAUUCAAAAAAUUCUCUGACGUAGUUAAUUUUUGGAUAAAAUAGAGAUUGAACUGAUGCAGAGAAGCAUGAUGAAAGACUUUUCUCAGUACCAGGACAAAUUUGCAGUUUGGCUUGCACAUGUCCAGGCUCUAAAUUGCUGAGAAGAGCUGGAGAUCUUUUAGGAGACUGUACACAACACAGUUUACAUACACAAACCAAAUAAAAGCUUCAUUUACUUAUGCAACCAAUAGCUCUUUAGGCCACCCAAAACUCAGUCGUCACUCCAGUCCUGUUUUAAGGCACCUACAGCUGAUUUUGUGCUAAACUAACAAAUACUGUGCUUGUAUGAGCUGUACCUAUUGGCUUUCUGAUGUUGCUGCCUUUCAUUGCUGAACACCCCUCUCUGUGAUCCUUAAAGUCAUUUGAUAAUUCAUUCCCAUCUCCACAUGAGCUUUUGUUUUGUGUCUGCAAGACACUUUUCAAGACCAGCACUAUGUGACUAUGAAAACGAGAGGAGUGCACAACCCCAUACUUACAGCUCAGCCAGAAUGGGAGCCAGGGAAACGCCAUGCAGAGCUCAAGGAAGGACGCAGCCCCUUCCCAGAUGCAUAAGAUGAUCUAUAUUUCAAGAAAUAAGAUCCUACAUAAAUUAAGAUAUUGCAUGCGAUAUCUUUAAGAAAAUCCUUUGUGAAGGCAUUUCAAGCUGGGUUUUGUAGUGCCCACUUUCUAAAAAACGCAGUAGUUUCCGUUCAUGUGCAUAUUACUAGUAGCAGAAUAUGAAGAGGACACUUCUAAAAGAAACAAAUCCAAGUUUUAAUACAUUUUUUGCCUGUGGCAGCUCAUUGUCCAGAUGGGAAGGUAACAGAUAUUACACAUCUGUGAACUGCAAUGCUAGAAUGGUUUUUCAAAUUUUUGCUGUUAAUAAAAAUCACUGAAGCAGGAAGGGAUGAACAAAGAUAAUCAUCACAAUGUAUGGCACUAUUAACUGUUAAAUUUUUCAGUGGAGUGCUUCAGUGCUUUUUACAGUAAUAAUGAUAUGGAGUCUUGUGAGUCUUGUGCCUGUGUACAUCCGCGAUACAGUAAGCUCCAUUUCUCCUCCUGAAGAUAAAAUGCAUUUCAGAGUUCUGCAAUGAAACAACAUUGAUUCAGAAACACACAGCAGACACCCCCGCGCAUUGAGCUGGCAUCACGUCCUAGCUGCUGAAACACAGCCGUAGCACAGCUCUUCAGGAAACUAAGGCAUAUGGAAACCCCAGCAUGUCCUGGGAGGUGGAAUGAGAAGUGGUAUUUAAAGACACAUUGAUUGUGUGUUCAUUUUACAAAAGAAUAGUUCAAAUGCUACUUCUUUAUUUGAGAGAGAAACUAUUCUAUGUAUUCCUUAUAAAAAGCCCCGCAGGAGAAAGGCAGAAACCUACACUUUUGUUUUUAAAGUUCAGAAUUUGUUCUGUUUCAGUCUCUCAGUCCAUGCAACUAUGCACUUGGCAAAGGAUUCCUCCUAAACCAUCAGUCAGAAAUCUAGACAAAGGCUUCACAAUCCCAUAAAGAGGCAAAAUUAUCCUUGCUGUGGCAGUGGCACAGAGACAGAGGAGAGACCAUGAGCAACUCCCCUGCUUAAGGUCAUUAGAGACAUCGGUGACUUCUGUCACAAAACACAUCUCCAAAACAUUGCUCUCACGGAACAGUCCUGACAGGCUUUUUCCUAGAGCACAGCAAAGCCUAGAUGCAGGUUUGCUUCCAACUUGCCAUGGCAUAAACCUUGCUGUAAACACACCUUGGUUCCCAGGCUGACACAGAGGAGACACAAGGACAUCUUUCUGGGCAGGACUAGGAAGGGCAGGACCGCUGCCCUCUAGUCUUUGUCAACAGCAGCAUCUAGCAAGCUUUCAGCAGCUGUGACAAUGGGACUGAAUAAAAACAGCACAAGAAUGGCAGGAUGGAAAAUGUCAUAGCUCAGCACUACUCAGGAGAUAAAAAUUAACUCUCAUGUUUGUUGAAUACAAAAAUGGGAAAAAAAAAAUAUAUCACCAGGCAUGUAGCAAAUAAAUCAGAAAGAAAGAUGGAAUGGGAACAAAAGAUUUCACUAUUUCAGUGUUUUACAUGAAACUCCAAAACCCUUUUGGUUCUUACCAGAUCCCAUGACAGUUAAACAUCUUAAUUCUGGAAGACUUCUUCCUGACUUUGUGUUACAGGGAAGGUCAUCACAGGCUGAAAACCUGCUUUGAAUCUUCACAGUGAUUUUAUGGAGAGGGGCUUCUGGACGGAUUCUUAAAGGAGAAUAAGGGGACAAGCAGUUAAAACGGGACCGAAAGCUGUGCUGGGGGUGGAAUAUGCUCCUUUCAUUACAAUUUGAAUUUGAUCCUGGGGACUUAGCCCAAAAGCAGCACUGUCUGGCACACAGGACAAAUUCUUCCUUUAGGGACUCCAGCAGAGGGGGUUAUUUAGGACACAGCAGCAGGUCCAAAUAAGCUCACCCAGAAACCUGCUUUGAGAUGUUAAAGAAACGACAUAUAUAAUGAUAGAGAAGCAGAGCUGAUUCCGAGUUAAAUGGUGUCUGAGUUUCCCCAGGAGAUCUUUGAAGCACUUAAGAAGCAAGAAGCUGCCAGCACUACCACUACACUGGAAGUGCAUGCCUUCUAUCUGGGAACAGCUACGCUGCCUUUUCCCUCUACUGUCUGUAUUAUACAGGCAUUCAGAGAGGAAAAAAUAAAGGUGGCAAUCAGGAAGCUUUCAGAAAAGAUGGGAGAAGGGUAGCGUCGAAGAGGAUCUGUGCUACCAGUCUUCAAAUUUAAGUGGAGGAUUUAAAAAUGCAUAGUAUUUUUUUUUAGUAACAAAGGAGGAACAGAGCAUUAAUAGCAGAGUUACUCACAAAAACCUGAAUUACUUUACAGUAUCUUUACCUUAUUUUCUAGAGUUCCUUGCAAAACAAUGUUAUUAUAACACAUGGCUCAGUCUCCUGGAAAAUUACAACGUAGCCACCACUGCACAAAUAAAUUCUAUUAAUGUCAAGCCUUAAUUAUACUUUAAAACCUACCUGCUGCUUAGUACAGGAAUUCCCCCAGCUAGUGAAGACCCGCUGAUGAGACAGACAGGUCUCAACAAUGAGAAAACCCAUGCUGAAUAUAGGGUCAAAACACUGAAUUGUCCCACAGUCACAUCUCCACUGAGGUGUAUGCAUGGCAAGGAACAGACUCUCCCCCAAAACACCUUUUUUUUUUUCUCCCUGAAAAAGCAAGGCUAAUGCAUUAGAACAAGAAGAAAUAGAGACUGAGGGAAAGCUAAAAAAUGCAGCAAUUUUUAUGUACCUGUUGAAGACCUUGGGAUAAGAAUUACGCAAGAGUCAAGUUAACUCCAUUGCUAACAGAGCUCAGCCAAAUACUUUCUUAUCUCUCUAAUCACAGGUGGAAUGAAGAAACCAUGAAUCAAAGUGAAAAAAAAAAUUCAAACACUUGCAUGCCUUUGGUUCUCUUAUCUAUUAAGCAUCAAAAAUGGGCAACAGACUCAAGACUUAAUAUUUUUCUUUCUCUGCAACAGAAAGAUUGCACAGAGACUUACUGAUAUAAGCUUAAAGGCAUAGACAUGUUUGUUCUCCCAGGAAAACUGCAUUAUCACGCUUUUCCUAAUCUUAUUAGGAUGAGGACAUGACUGCAGUAUGCCAGGGUGUAUUUCCACUUUUAACAAGAAGCAAAGGACAGUGAUGUGGGUGCCCAGCUGUGUGGAGAUAGGCUGAGUCUGUUCAGCAGCACAAAGUCCCAAGUUCGGAAGACUGAAUUUCCCGAGGAAAUGCGGUACUCGGCUAAGGUCAGCUCUUGCUAAGCACCUAACAAGAUGCAUGAAUACAGAAAGUGACAGCAAAGGACAUGCUGGAGAGCUGCUUUCAGGCUCUGUGACACCAGCCAGGUAGCACUACAGACAUACCAGCCUCUCCCUGUGACCUGCCAGCCUGUGUGCACUGGCUGUCUUCAGCAAUACUGGUAACAGCUAUUGACAGAGGAGCGGCCUUCAAGAGUAUCGGACUGGUAUUAACAGCUCUUAGAAUAUGAAUGAAUGGUUUAAAAGGAUAACCAGGUAAAAUAUUCAAGAUAAGUAAUUAACAAGCCCAAGCACAUAACAACUCAGAUGUCAUUCAAGUCAAUAAGGGAUUUCUCAAUGUCUGAUACUUUGCAGAACAGGGCGUUGGUUGCCAAAGGAUUUUCCUUACCUAGUAAUUCAUCUCCUUGCUACAGACUUCGAUCUGGGAAGUAUGUUUCAGUUAGCCUGAGGAAGAUGGCUACAUUAGAAAACAGAUUUGUGAAUUAGGACAAAAAAAAAUAGUCACUUUCUACCAUCCAUUUGGGACAGAAUGCAAAGCCAUGUCUCUUGUACCUUUGUCACUCACACAUCAAUUUGCAGGUUUUUCCUCUACAAAGAAGCCCUUGACAGCUUGCCAGUGUCUAAUUUGGCUCCCUCCUAACAUAUACUAAUCUCUCAUCCAAAUAAGGACUGGAAGAUGAGCCCUUUUCCCCUGCAAUGCUUUAAAAUGCAAUUAACAGUAAACAGUAAUUCUAAAAUAUGCCUAGACAGACAGACGGCUUCCAGAAGCAGAAACAUCUGCUGCAAGCAAUGUUCAUUCUGGACACAAGGCGAUGUGCCAGAGCAAGCCAAGAAACAAUUGAGCUAAAUUAACUUAUAUUUAAUGAACAUAAAAACCUAGACACUGCACUCUGUAACAGCUCUGUCUCACUGUCUGAUCAAAUCCCCUGGACUGGGGUAUAGCAGCCCUUCCCAUUUCAUGCCACUUGGACUCCUGCUGUUCGGUGCUACCUGUGGCUGGGUACUCUGGCCACCUGCUGUACCCCAGGGGGAAGGGGCCUGUUCACCUGAGGCUGCACCAAGAGCAGCUCCUCUCAUCAGAGGGGCUUUAUCCACUCACACUGCUCCCACCACUAGGAGUCUGGGGCAUUGUUUUCAAUAAAUUCUUUGGGAAAAGCA